CAGUGAGGAAUAUUGGUCAAUGGGCGGAAGCCUGAACCAGCCAUCCCGCGUGAAGGAAGAAUGCGCUAUGCGUUGUAAACUUCUUUUCCAGGGGAAGAAAACCUCUGAUGUAUCGGAGCUUGCCGGUACCCUGGGAAUAAGCAUCGGCUAACUCCGUGCCAGCAGCCGCGGUAAUACGGAGGAUGCGAGCGUUAUCCGGAUUUAUUGGGUUUAAAGGGUGCGUAGGCGGAUAAAUAAGUCAGUGGUGAAACCCUGCAGCUUAACUGUAGACUUGCCAUUGAUACUGUUUAUCUUGAGUUUGGUCAAGGCAGGCGGAAUGUGUAAUGUAGCGGUGAAAUGCUUAGAUAUUACACAGAACACCGAUUGCGAAGGCAGCUUGCUGGGCCGGUACUGACGCUGAUGCACGAAAGCGUGGGGAUCGAACAGGAUUAGA
rnacentral:rRNA from 1 species